CCGGCUUUGAUGCGUCUGGGAAAAUUUCCAUGUUUACCGCCGCGGCCCCUCUCGUCACGGCGAAGUGUGCAAUAAUGUUCCACACUCAUGCUUUUGUUUCCCUGCUGCAUCCUGGGUCAACGACAGAUGGAUGAGUCCAAUUUGAAACGCCGCUUUUAUUUCCAGUGCAGAGAGGAAGCUUCAAACACACACCUGUGGCUGAGGGACGCGCGUCAGGAACGAAAUUAGCGGAAUGGGAAUAACCUGGUGUACUCUCAACAGCUUUAGGGGACUUGCGCUCUCAACGCAUCAUUGGUACUCCAUUAGUGAUCAGAAGACGAGCGCACAGGCGCCACAAUUGCCUUUUAAAGCGCUUUAAAGGCGAGCGGCUCCACCGGCAUACCGAUCAGCCGGGGAACAAAAGGCAAUAUUCAUCUCGUCGGUCACGUGGAACGUGGUCACAAAGAACUGGACUGACAUUCCUCACCUACAUCCAAUUAAAAUCACGGCCCACGUCCGGGCUGCCAGACUCUCUGCCCUCCCAGAUUGUGAUGGAAAGAAUGGAAAGAAAAUGAAUCCCGUCCAGCUCAUCCGGAAGGUAAAUGACUUUCACAUAAAUCCCAUACGUGUUUGGAAUCAUCUGGGCUGGAACCGUCCUGGGCCUGAAGCACCAACAGGCAUCACAACAUUGAUGAAUUUAUCAAUGCUGACGGGCUUUUUGAACACUUUAGACUCUUUUUAAUCACCGUUUUGGCCCCGGUGAUUAAUUUUUAUUGAUAAUUUAUUUAGACAUCUUUCACUAACUGAACUACUGGUGUUUUCAGGAGAAGAACGACUGUUUUUGCUUCCUGAAUGAGGCAACAGUGAAAUAGAAGCUAACAAUGAUGAACAGGUAGAACUACAAAGUUCCUUCCCCUAAGAGCUCAUUUUCUCAGCAAGUGAGGGGAACAUUUUAGUAUUUUACCUGCUGCCUUUGGCUCUAUUUUCUGAAUUUUCUGAUUUAGGGCUGUUUGUUCAUGCCUUUCCAUGUUUAUGAGGGGCUAUAAGCUGUAUAUUUCCAAAG
rnacentral:lncRNA from 1 species